rfam:Citrus clementina cultivar Clemenules unplaced genomic scaffold scaffold_6, whole genome shotgun sequence.
AUACCAUUAUGAGGAUAUCUCCUGAGUAACUCCUUGAAUCUUUCCCAUGCAUCAUACAAGCUUUUAUCUUUAAGUUGAUGGAAACAUGUGAUCUCAUUUUUCAAUUU